AGCUCCAAUAGCGUAUAUUAAAGUUGUUGCGGUUAAAAAGCUCGUAGUUGGAUUUCUGUUGAGGACGGCCGGUCCGCACUAUGUGCGUGUAUCUGGUUCGGCCUUGGCAUCCUCUUGAGGAACGUAUCUACGCUUGAUUGCGUGGAGCGGUAUUCAAGACUUUUACUUUGAGGAAAUUAGAGUGUUCACGGCAGGCAAGCGCCUUGAAUACAUUAGCAUGGAAUAAUAAUAUAGGAUCUUGGUUCUAUUUUGUUGGUUUCUAGAGCUAAGGUAAUGAUUAAUAGGGAUAAUUGGGGGCAUUUGUAUUAACGCGUCAGAGGUGAAAUUCUUGGAUUGCGUUACGACAAACUACUGCGAAAGCAUUUGCCAAGGAUGUUUUCAUUGAUCAAGAACGAAAGUA
rnacentral:rRNA from 1 species